AUUGAACGCUGGCGGCAGGCCUAACACAUGCAAGUCGAACGAGUGGCGGACGGGAGAGUAAUGUCUGGGAAACUGCCUGAUGGAGGGGGAUAACUACUGGAAACGGUAGCUAAUACCGCAUACCAUCGGAUGUACCCAGAUGGGGUUGGCUCGGAGGUGGGGUAACGGCUCACCUAGGCGACGCUCCCUAGCUGGUCUGAGAGGAGGACCAGCCACACUGGAACUGAGACACGGUCCAGACUCCUACGGGAGGCAGCAGUGGGGAAUAUUGCAUAACGGGCGGAAGCCUGAUGCAGCCAUGCCGCGUGUAUGAAGAAGGCCGUCGGGUUGUAAAGUACUUUCAGCGGGGAGGCGUUACCCGCAGAAGAAGCACCGGCUAACUCCGUGCCAGCAGCCGCGGUAAUAC
rnacentral:rRNA from 1 species